rnacentral:rRNA from 1 species
UACGGAGGGUGCAAGCGUUAAUCGGAAUUACUGGGCGUAAAGCGCACGCAGGUGGCUGAGUCAGUCGAUUGUGAAAGCCCUGGGCUUAACCUGGGGAAUUGCAGUCGAUACUACUCAGCUAGAGUAUGGGAGAGGGCAGUGGAAUUCCCGGUGUAGCGGUGAAAUGCGUAGAUAGUCGGGAGGAACAUCAGUGGCGAAGGCGGCUGCCUGGCCCAAUACGUGACACUCAGGUGCGACAGCGUGGGGAGCAAACAGGG